rnacentral:rRNA from 1 species
UAAUGCCGGAUGCUCCAGUUGAUCGCAUGGUCUUCUGGGAAAGCUUUCGCGGUAUGGGAUGGGGUCGCGUCCUAUCAGCUUGACGGCGGGGUAACGGCCCACCGUGGCUUCGACGGGUAGCCGGCCUGAGAGGGCGACCGGCCACAUUGGGACUGAGAUACGGCCCAGACUCCUACGGGAGGCAGCAGUGGGGAAUAUUGCACAAUGGGCGCAAGCCUGAUGCAGCGACGCCGCGUGAGGGAUGGAGGCCUUCGGGUUGUAAACCUCUUUUAUCGGGGAGCAAGCGAGAGUGAGUUUACCCGUUGAAUAAGCACCGGCUAACUACGUGCCAGCAGCCGCGGUAAUACGUAGGGUGCAAGCGUUAUCCGGAAUUAUUGGGCGUAAAGGGCUCGUAGGCGGUUCGUCGCGUCCGGUGUGAAAGUCCAUCGCUUAACGGUGGAUCCGCGCCGGGUACGGGCGGGCUUGAGUGCGGUAGAGGAGACUGGAAUUCCCGGUGUAACGGUGGAAUGUGUAGAUAUCGGAAAA